UGCAGUCGAGCGGUAGCACAGAGAGCUUGCUCUCGGGUGACGAGCGGCGGACGGGUGAGUAAUGUCUGGGAAACUGCCUGAUGGAGGGGGAUAACUACUGGAAACGGUAGCUAAUACCGCAUAACGUCGCAAGACCAAAGUGGGGGACCUUCGGGCCUCAUGCCAUCAGAUGUGCCCAGAUGGGAUUAGCUAGUAGGUGGGGUAAUGGCUCACCUAGGCGACGAUCCCUAGCUGGUCUGAGAGGAUGACCAGCCACACUGGAACUGAGACACGGUCCAGACUCCUACGGGAGGCAGCAGUGGGGAAUAUUGCACAAUGGGCGCAAGCCUGAUGCAGCCAUGCCGCGUGUAUGAAGAAGGCCUUCGGGUUGUAAAGUACUUUCAGCGAGGAGGAAGGCAUUAAGGUUAAUAACCUUGGUGAUUGACGUUACUCGCAGAAGAAGCACCGGCUAACUCCGUGCCAGCAGCCGCGGUAAUACGGAGGGUGCAAGCGUUAAUCGGAAUUACUGGGCGUAAAGCGCACGCAGGCGGUCUGUCAAGUCGGAUGUGAAAUCCCCGGGCUCAACCUGGGAACUGCAUUCGAAACUGGCAGGCUAGAGUCUUGUAGAGGGGGGUAGAAUUCCAGGUGUAGCGGUGAAAUGCGUAGAGAUCUGGAGGAAUACCGGUGGCGAAGGCGGCCCCCUGGACAAAGACUGACGCUCAGGUGCGAAAGCGUGGGGAGCAAACAGGAUUAGAUACCCUGGUAGUCCACGCCGUAAACGAUGUCGACUUGGAGGUUGUGCCCUUGAGGCGUGGCUUCCGGAGCUAACGCGUUAAGUCGACCGCCUGGGGAGUACGGCCGCAAGGUUAAAACUCAAAUGAAUUGACGGGGGCCCGCACAAGCGGUGGAGCAUGUGGUUUAAUUCGAUGCAACGCGAAGAACCUUACCUACUCUUGACAUCCAGAGAACUUAGCAGAGAUGCUUUGGUGCCUUCGGGAACUCUGAGACAGGUGCUGCAUGGCUGUCGUCAGCUCGUGUUGUGAAAUGUUGGGUUAAGUCCCGCAACGAGCGCAACCCUUAUCCUUUGUUGCCAGCGGUUCGGCCGGGAACUCAAAGGAGACUGCCAGUGAUAAACUGGAGGAAGGUGGGGAUGACGUCAAGUCAUCAUGGCCCUUACGAGUAGGGCUACACACGUGCUACAAUGGCAUAUACAAAGAGAAGCGACCUCGCGAGAGCAAGCGGACCUCAUAAAGUAUGUCGUAGUCCGGAUUGGAGUCUGCAACUCGACUCCAUGAAGUCGGAAUCGCUAGUAAUCGUAGAUCAGAAUGCUACGGUGAAUACGUUCCCGGGCCUUGUACACACCGCCCGUCACACCAUGGGAGUGGGUUGCAAAAGAAGUAGGUAGCUUAACCUUCGGGAGGGCGC
rnacentral:rRNA from 1 species